CCUACGGGUGGCAGCAGUGGGGAAUAUUGGACAAUGGGGGCAACCCUGAUCCAGCCAUGCCGCGUGUGUGAAGAAGGCCCUCGUGUUGUAAAGCACUUUCAGUGAGGAAGAACGCCUGGUGGUUAAUACCCAUCAGGAAAGACAUCACUCACAGAAGAAGCACCGGCUAACUCCGUGCCAGCAGCCGCGGUAAUACGGAGGGUGCGAGCGUUAAUCGGAAUUACUGGGCGUAAAGCGCGCGUAGGUGGCUUGAUAAGCCGGUUGUGAAAGCCCCGGGCUCAACCUGGGAACGGCAUCCGGAACUGUCAAGCUAGAGUGCAGGAGAGGAAGGUAGAAUUCCCGGUGUAGCGGUGAAAUGCGUAGAGAUCGGGAGGAAUACCAGUGGCGAAGGCGGCCUUCUGGACUGACACUGACACUGAGGUGCGAAAGCGUGGGUAGCAAACAGGAUUAGAUACCCCAGUAGUC
rnacentral:rRNA from 1 species